UUGACCUCAAAUCAGGUAAGACUACCCGCUGAACUUAAGCAUAUCAAUAAGCGGAGGAAAAGAAACUAACAAGGAUUCCCCUAGUAACUGCGAGUGAAGCGGGAAAAGCUCAAAUUUAAAAUCUGGCGGUCUUUGGCCGUCCGAGUUGUAAUCUAGAGAAGUGUUACCCGCGCCGGACCGUGUAUAAGUCUCCUGGAAUGGAGCGUCAUAGAGGGUGAGAAUCCCGUCUUUGACACGGACUCCCGGGGCAUUUGUGGUGCGCUCUCAAAGAGUCGAGUUGUUUGGGAAUGCAGCUCAAAAUGGGUGGUAAAUUCCAUCUAAAGCUAAAUAUUGGCGAGAGACCGAUAGCGAACAAGUACCGUGAGGGAAAGAUGAAAAGAACUUUGGAAAGAGAGUUAAACAGUACGUGAAAUUGCUGAAAGGGAAACGCUUGGAGUCAGUCACGUUGGCCGGAAAUCAACCUUGCUUCUGCUGGGUGUACUUUCUGGUUUGACGGGCCAGCAUCAGUUUUGACCGGUGGAGAAAGUUCAAGGGAAUGUGGCAUCUUUGGAUGUGUUAUAGCCUUUGAUCAUAUACAUCGGUUGGGACUGAGGAAUUCA
rnacentral:rRNA from 1 species